CAGCCGCCGCGGUAAUACGUAGGGUGCGAGCGUUAAUCGGAAUUACUGGGCGUAAAGCGUGCGCAGGCGGUUGUGUAAGGCAGGUGUGAAAUCCCCGGGCUUAACCUGGGAACUGCGCUUGUGACUGCACAGCUAGAGUAUGGCAGAGGGGGGUGGAAUUCCACGUGUAGCAGUAAAAUGCGUAGAGAUGUGGAGGAACACCGAUGGCGAAGGCAGCCCCCUGGGCCAAUACUGACGCUCAUGCACGAAAGCGUGGGGAGCAAACAGGAUUAGAUACCCCCGUAGUCCCUGUCUCUUAUAC
rnacentral:rRNA from 1 species